AGUGUCUAACAUAAAUAAACCAUUAUGCAAUGUUCCUUUCGUGAUGAUCUUAUCAUCUAAUAAUAUCGAACAACCAUUGUUCUCAAAAACAAAUUUAUAUCCACUAACUGUUAAACAUGAAAUGGAGAUAAUGUUUUUGAUAAUAGAAGGAACAAAAUAACAUGCAUCUAAUGCAAUAAAAGCUCCACUAGGCAGAUGUAGGGUGACCUCGCCAACAGCUACUACAGCAACUUUUGC
rnacentral:lncRNA from 1 species